rnacentral:rRNA from 1 species
UACGGGGGGAGCAAGCGUUGUUCGGAUUUACUGGGCGUAAAGGGCGCGUAGGCGGCGUGACAAGUCACUUGUGAAAUCUCCGGGCUUAACCCGGAGCGGCCAAGUGAUACUGUCGUGCUAGAGUGCGGAAGGGGCUACUGGAAUUCUCGGUGUAACGGUGAAAUGCGUAGAUAUCGGGAAGAACACCCGUGGCGAAGGCGGUUCUCUGGGACGGUACUGACGCUGAGACGCGAAAGCGUGGGGAGCGAACAGG